rnacentral:rRNA from 1 species
AUUGAACGCUGGCGGCAGGCCUAACACAUGCAAGUCGAACGGUAACAGGAAGCAGCUUGCUGCUUCGCUGACGAGUGGCGGACGGGUGAGUAAUGUCUGGGAAGCUGCCUGAUGGAGGGGGAUAACUACUGGAAACGGUAGCUAAUACCGCAUAAUGUCGCAAGACCAAAGAGGGGGACCUUCGGGCCUCUUGCCAUCGGAUGUGCCCAGAUGGGAUUAGCUUGUUGGUGGGGUAACGGCUCACCAAGGCGACGAUCCCUAGCUGGUCUGAGAGGAUGACCAGCCACACUGGAACUGAGACACGGUCCAGACUCCUACGGGAGGCAGCAGUGGGGAAUAUUGCACAAUGGGCGCAAGCCUGAUGCAGCCAUGCCGCGUGUAUGAAGAAGGCCUUCGGGUUGUAAAGUACUUUCAGCGGGGAGGAAGGGAGUAAAGUUAAUACCUUUGCUAAUUGACGUUACCCGCAGAAGAAGCACCGGCUAACUCCGCG